CACACUUUCCCCCUCCCUUCCACACGCGCCCACCCUGCUCCCUCCAGCCCCCCCUUCCGAUCUCCCCUGCCCCCAAGCCCGCGCCACCCCCCUCCCCCGGGCACUGCCUGGUCCUCCUGUUGCAGGGAGUUCCGUGACCCCCGUGCUGAGGAGGACUCUUUUGCCCUGGAAGGUGUAGAACUUUCCUAUGAGGGCAAGUCACCUGUAUGACAGGAGUAGGCUGAAGAUCCUUGUGGGGAAGCUGACGUGGAAGUGCUGAAAUGCUGUGUGUCUCGGAAUGAGAUACUUCUCCUGAUUUGGGAUGUGUCUGACAGAAAUUCAUUUCUGUACCCGGGCUGCUCUGAAACUCCUUCUGCAGGCUUUUAAAUCACCUUUGAAGGAGGUGCAGGAUGGGCCAGCCCAGGGCAGGGAGGCUGAAAGAGUCAUGGUGCCAUGAGGAGUCUGAAGAUUACCACAGAGUUUCUGGGAUCUCUGUAGAGAAACACUGGCUUUCAACAAAUAUAGGUUUUUACUGUAUCUGGUGAGAUUUGUGGGCUAGAAAAACCACACAGCUGACCACUCCAUGGCCAAGAACCUCCCAAACCAAGAAUAGGAUGCAGCAAAAACUCUGCAGCUAUAACGCAGUAAAUUUAUAAUGUGUUCAUGGCUUCCUCUGUAUAGUAUGCAAGGCUGGCUCUAAACCAAAUGGUGCCCCAGACAAGGAGCGUCUUCAGCAUUCCCCCUCUCCCCCCGCAUUUGUUAAACUUCUGAA